CAGUCGCCGCGGUAAUACGGAGGGCGCGAGCGUUACCCGGAUUUACUGGGCGUAAAGGGCGUGUAGGCGGCCUGGGGCGUCCCAUGUGAAAGGCCACGGCUCAACCGUGGAGGAGCGUGGGAUACGCUCAGGCUAGAGGGUGGGAGAGGGUGGUGGAAUUCCCGGAGUAGCGGUGAAAUGCGCAGAUACCGGGAGGAACGCCGAUGGCGAAGGCAGCCACCUGGUCCACUUCUGACGCUGAGGCGCGAAAGCGUGGGGAGCAAACCGGAUUAGAGACCCCCGUAGUCCCUGUCUCUUUACC
rnacentral:rRNA from 1 species